rnacentral:snoRNA from 16 species
AAUGAUAAAAAUUUUAUUAUUUCAGCAAAAAUAUAAUAAACCAUUUCUAGCGAUAUGAUUAUGUAAACCAUAAGGCUGCGAAGGGGUCUAAUUG